GAACUAGCUGACCAAAUCUUACUGGUUUCCUGCAUUCCUUUUUCAAAUGACUUUGGCUCUUCAACCCUCCCUGAGACUCUUCUAAUUAACCAACAGAAAGCAAGAGUGGAGCUAUGCCUCAGGUGGUAGAGCACCAGCCUUGAGGAAACAAGCUCAGGCACAGAGCCCAGGUCCUGAGUUCCAGCCCCAGGACCGGCAUUCCCCACCACCCCAUCUUCCCCAUGCACUCAAGACUGACUUCUGGAAAGUGAUAUUACCUGAGGAGGAGGAGGAAAGACAAGGAGCAGGGAUGGCAGCUGUGACUCAGGUAAAGCCAUGUGGCGUCUCCUUCCUGUGCACAGAGCUGGCCUGGGUGCUGCAAGCCGUGUGCUCACAUCCCCCACGCCUUUCCUCAUCCCUGUCCCCUCCACUGGGCAUGGGCACAGGAGGGCAUCACCCACCAAGUGUUCCUGUGUUCUUGCUGAAACCUUUCUGCUGUUCUUUUCAGCUUU